rnacentral:lncRNA from 1 species
GGAGUAUUUAAUUAAUUAUUGUCCACACAAAUUGAGGAACUAACAUCCACAUUUCAAUUCAUGAGUGUUUCACUUCCCUUUCCUUGUUCCAUUUUCAGACUCAUGAUGUUCUAACCUGAAAUAAUAUCAUCAACAAUAAUGUUUUUAGAAGAUGAAAAAGAACCUUAACAAGAAAAAUGAAGUUCAACGCUCACUUCUCAUCACAUAGUUUCACCAAUACUCUUCUUCAGGUAAGAAACUUUAUAUAUAUAUAUUAUCUGGUUCUUUAAAUUAUGAUUAUUUAUGCCGUAGAUUUAUUAUUCUUCCACGCUAGGGUCAUUUAGUAGAAGGUAUUAGAAAAAAUAAUACAUAUAUUAUUAGUUUUGAUAUAUUAUUUAUUAAUCCCUUAUUUGGUUAGGGUAAUAUUCUUAUUCUAAUACACUCAUAACAAAUCAAACCGUCAAUAAAAAAUAAUACUAAAAUUAUACACCCUACAAAAACCCCUUUUAGUAUUUGUGUGUUAAUGUGUUAGUGAUUAGCUACAAGUAAUUAAUCAAGCCUGAAGAACAGAUAAUUUUAAUUUCUUACAAGUAGAGUUAGUAAUCUGAACAGAAACAAGAGACAUUAUUUGUUUAUAAUGGGUUAAAAUACACUAAUAUUUUUUAAAAAAAAUUAUACUAUGAUAUUCCUUGAUAAAAAUUUUUAGCUUCUCAAUAGAGAAAAAGAUAGCGACGCAAGCUUUCUGUUCGCCAGUAAAAUCAUACUCUCUGCUUAAUUUAUGUGACACGUUUUAUUUUUUAUUCUAGUAAAGAUUGUUACUUUUCUACUACGUAUUAAAAAUAACUUAAUUUUAAUAAAAACAAUUUAUAAAAUAAAAUAUCUUAAAUUUUUUUAACACGUUUUUUUUCCUUAAAUUUUAUGUCAAAUCAGUCGGUAUCACUAUACAAAUAUUAGGUCAUUGGUGAUAGUACAAGAAUUAAUUAUGAGUAAUUAAUGUAGGUUAAUGAUAUGAUGAGAAGUCAUAAUACGAGGUUACACCUUUCGACUAUUGAUUGGCUAACGGCCGUGGAAUUCUCCAUUUGUACUAAUAAGAUAUGACAUGUAGGGACAUACAAUUUUAUCUUCUCCAUGUCUUUUAUUUUUCCUUUUAUCGUGUUUGUAUAUUUUCAAAUAAUAGAAACUUCAAAAUUCCUAAUAAUAGUUUCAAAUAUAUAAAGUAUAUAUUACUAUUCAAUUUAUCUAUCUUACUUUUUAAAAUUUUAUGCAAAAUAUUGAUGACUAGUUUUUAAAAAAAAUUGAAGGUAGAAAAAAGAAAUUACAAGGUCGAGAAUCAAACUUUCAUAAACAAGGUAAAUACUUAAAGUCAAUCAAUUAAAUUACUAAAAAUUUUACGUGUUCAAAACUAUCACACAAGAUUUAAGCAUUUUAAUACAUAAUAUGCAUGUUUAAUUUAAAAUUUUAAGAUUCUAAAGUCUAUACUAUAUUCUUAAAUGAUGUGUUUAGUCAAACUACGACACAUAAAAAUUAAUGUAAUGAAGGGGGACUUUAGAAAAAAGUUUUUAAAGAUAUAUAUAUAAAAUGUGGACAGAAGUGCUCCAUGAAAGAAACAAUGAAGAGGAAAAAGAGGAUAAAAACAUAGAGAGAUAUUGGUGGCCCCUUUAGGGCUUGAGGGUAUGUGUGGUGCUUCAUUUUUGGGGUUUUGUUUUGUUUGUUUGUUUUGUUUAGGCUAAUAGAAUGUGUGAUGAAUAGUUCCAAAUCAGUUAGCACUACCUUUUACCAUUGUGGAAUGGGCAUAAAAGAUGUGAAUGGGGGACUUAAAGGUACACACCACAGGAAUAACUCUUUUUUGUUCAUUCAUUAUACAGAAAGUGACACUAUUUUUGUUCUCUAACGUAGCUGAGGCCUCAUUUAUUUACACAUAAUAGAGAUUUUGAAUGAUAGAAGUUUUAGAAUCUUUAUAUUGAGAAUUAAGUAUUUCCUAAACAAAACUUUUACACAGAUCAUUAAAAGAUAUUUUUGUGUGAAUAAUUUUCACAUGCACAAUCAUCAACCACCUAGUUAAUCACAUUCAACAUCACAAUUACCAAUACAUCAUUGACCACUAUACAUAAUAUAGUCAAUACUACUAACAUUAGCUACUAAUUACAAUCACUACUAUCACUACCACGUACCAAUUGUCAUUAAUCACACAUCAUUACAACGAGCAUCAAUCAUCACCACCACCGUUGCUACGGACCAUCUUUAUCAUCACUAGCAAACAUAAUAUUUAUUUAUUUUAAUUAAAUUUUUAUAUUUUUUCUUAUAUUUAAUUUCUUUUUUUAUUUGAAUUGUGUAUUUAUUAUAUUUAAAAAUAAAUAAAUUUUGUAAUUUCAUUGAGAAACAUAAUUAAACAAUUAAACAUAUACGCUUUGUAGUCCCAAAAGAUUGGACAAUAUAUAGUCAAUAAGCUCUUUUAAUAUAAACACUUGCAUAUAUUUAUUUAAUACAUAGAAAAACAUCUCUAUAAUAAUAUUUCAUUAUAAUGAUAAAAUUCUCUUAAAAACAUACUUUUGAUAUUACAUUAUACUCUAUAUCUUUCUUAACAACAUUUUGUUAUGACAGUAAAAAAGAUAUUCGGAAAAUAACAAUAUUAUUACUAGAAAGGUUUGACGGUAUAUUUUACUUUGCAUAAUAAAGUCAAUACAGAAUUUAAUCAAUAUACAUGUUUACUGAAAUAAAUAAACAAAUCUUUAUUAGAUGCAUGUUUAAAGAGCUCUUUUUGGAAAAAGUUUCGUUCCGAAAAUUUCGGCCAACUUAAUUUGUUUGACUACAAAGGAAAAAAUAAACUGUCACACCUUACGUAGCCUGAAAUUCAGCCGGCCAUAUUUUGGACUGCUUUUAUGUGUUCAAUUCAUUUAUCAUAUUUAGAACUCAUUUAGAAUCCGUUUGGAUUGAUUUAAAAAAAAUUAUUUUUAAGUCAAAAAUAUAAAAUUAAACGUAAAUAACUUUUAAGUCGAAAAAUAAAAAGUAAGGGAGAUUUACUUUUGAUUUUUGACUUAUUUCAAGUCAUUUUUUUACCUUACCAAAUACUUCAUAACUUAUUUUAAGUCAUUUUUAAUUUGUUUUAAGUUAUUUUUUUAUUUUUGUCAAACACUUUCAGAAGUCAAAAAUUGAUUUAAAAGUAGGUUUGACCAACUUUUAAAUCAAUUCAAACACACUCUCUUAGUACGAGGGAUAAAGAAAAUAACUUAUUCCAAAAUAAACUUUAGAAUAAGUUCAUCUUUUUUGAGAUAAAAUUACGAAAUAACUUAUUUUGAUAUUAGUUAUUGCAAGAUUAUAGAACUAUUUUUAAAUAUAUUAAAGGUAAAAAAACAAUUUUGAAAUAAUUAUUUUUGAAAAAUUUAAUUUCUGAUAAACUUAUUUCCCAAUCAAACGAGUCAUUACAAUUUCUUUCUGCAGUACUAAUAUUGUGCCAUUGUUGUUGAGCGAUUUGGCUUGACAACUAUCAUAUCUAAUUCACCAUACAACAAAAGAACAAAGAAAAGAAGGGAACAUUAAACUUAUAAUCUCCAAAAAUAUAAACAUCCAAGACUGAGACAUUCAGUCUUCGAAAAAUAUUAUGGAAGAUAUAUAUUUUUAUAAAUGAUCAAUUUCAUAUCUAUCAAUUAUAUUAUUAACUAACGAAAAAAGUUUACCUUUGUCAUAUCUAGUUGAAAUGAUCCUUUUUUUUCUCCUUUUCUAUAGGGAAAAAAUAGUUGAGGACAUUCCUUUUUUUUCACCUUUUCUAUAGGGAAAAAAUAGUUGAAGACAUUAGUUUAGUUAAGAAAUCAGGUACCUAAUUAGCUUCUCUAAAAUGAAAUAAUGUGAUAUAAACAAUCUCAAUAAUAAUAAUUAGAGUGCAGAUCAAGAUUGAACCUGCUGAACACAGAGAAUUUCGUAAUUGAAAAGAAUAAAGACUACUUUCUUCGUUUCAAAAUAAAUGGUGUUUUUAGCUUGAACAUAUUGAUUCUUAGAGAAACUACUCAUUUGUAUAAGAUAAAGAGUAGUUUUACUACUUACCCCUAAUUAAAUGCCUUGAAGAAUAAGUGAUUCUAUAAUGAUGUACAAUUCCAUGUAUUAAAACAAGAGUAAUUUUAUAAGAAUAAAAUCAAUUCCUAUCAAAACAAAAUAAACAGGCCAAAACACCACUUAUUUUGAAACGAAGGAACUACAAUUUUAACCUUCUCCUUUGUAGAAAGUUCAGGAAAUUAUUUGGUUGAGAUUUUUUAAUAGAAAAAUAGUAUUCAAAAUUGAUGUUGAAAAGGAGUAUUUUGAAGUUAAAAUUGUGUUUUUAGUCCUCUUGCUGAAAUGCCUUCCAAAAAGAUUAUUUAUUUCCCCUUAUUGAAACAAGAUGGACAUGAAAACAAAGUUCAAAGUUUUGUAUGUGAAAACUUUAAAUCAUUUGUAAAAUUUUCCAUGUUGUAAUGACAAUAUGAAUUAAUUCAUAUAUAGAUUAUCAAUUGAAAUGAUUAUUAUUAAAAUUCAGUUUCAUUAGUCCCUUACUGUAUACCUCCAAUCUUCUACACCAAUAAACAUUCUUAUCAAAACAAAUUACUUGUAAUUAAGUGUUACUUAUGAGACUUCUUGGAAAUAUAUGUUUUUUCAUCAGAACUUUUGGUUCUGCCACUGUGUACUGCAUGUCUUGGGAAUGUUCAAAAUUAUUAUUAAAACACACAAAGACCAAGUUGAGUAACAUCCAUAUAUACUAGUGAUAUUCCAAUUACAAAGUACUUAUGAACUUUCUCACACAAAAUAAUGUACAUCUUCCCCUAUUUUAUAUAAUGUCACAUCUCUAAUGUUUUUUUUAUUAGAAUGAUGAGAAAUAACACAACUAACAUAAUAUACAUCACAAUAAAUGUAUAAAAGACUUGAGAGAAGAUACAAAACAUUUUGAAAAUCAAUUUAAGUUUACCAAUUAUAUGGGUGUGAAUAUAUAAUUAUCUAUUUUGAAUGACAUUAAAUACUAUCUCUAACUAGGAAUGGAAUAGACAUAAACUGAAGAUUUUGGCCCUUGUUUUUUUUUAACUUUUGGAUCCAAAAAUAUGUUGAAUUCUUCUGCUCUUUUGCCUUCUUUCUUUAGUUUAGUUUUUUAAUUACAGUUUUAUCUCUACAUAACUUGAGCAAUUUAUAACUCUAAUGAUGAAGAAAUAGUUUACACUUUACAUGUGAUUAUAACCAUAAAAUUGUGAUUAACUAAUUAUCCAGAGAUAAAGUCUUCCAGUUUGUCACACCAUAUUUAUGUUUGGUGUAACAUGUGAAUAUAUUAACUCCUAAACAUGACAUGAUCUUUUAGCCCUACAAAGUUCUAUUAUCAUAUGCCAUAGAACGAAUGGUACCUAUUUGUUUAGAGUACAUAUCCAUCAAAAGACAUAUAAAAGUUAUAUUGCUCGGACUCUUCAAAAAUAUUCACAAACUAUGUGUGUUGCAUACUAAAAAAUAGUACAUUUUUGGAGAAUCCAAACAACAUAGUGUAGACAUGGCAUAAACUUAAUCCAAUCUUUAGGAAAAAAUUAAGACAUAGUAACUAGUUAAUCUCUUAAGGCAAACAAGCUAAGUAAAAGUUUAACACUUUUGUUUAAACUAUUUGUCGAGCUUCAAAGAGGAUUACAUAAUCCAAAUAACUAAAUCAACUGUGAUUACUUUUAAACUACCAUUCAAAGAGUAUAAUUAAGAGAGAGUAGAGGGUUAAUUACAUGGCUUAAUAACAACAUGAAGUAUCCUUCGUUGAGUGCCUUACAAAACUCAGGAGAUUUGGAUCGUCUACCAACAGCUGCAAAGGCAUACACAUAACUAAAAUCACAAAAUUAGUGUUAGCAGCUAGUAUGUAUCGUCUAUCAAUAGCUGCAAAGGCAUAAUUUAACUCACAAAAUAGUGUUAGUAAUUGAGCAAUCUAACAACACUUUCAGAUCUAAUCGACAAAAUUGCCAAGCAAGAAAUAACAUCAAAAGUAGUCAUACAAAUUCGAAAACCUAUCUUCUUCUUUCGCACAGAUUUGUGUACGAAAAAAAGAAAAAACGAAAGAGGGCGAAGGUGAUGACAGAAGCAUAGAGAGCACAAAUGAAGUGAGAUGCUUUUGCUGAAUGAAAUUAGCAUAUCAUCAUUAGUGCUCUCUAUCUUCUGUCAACAAUUAUCACCAACCUUUCUUCCUAUCAAUUUCAAUUAUAUAACCUAAAAAUCAAAUACAAAGAACAAAAUAAGAUUUUUUUGGGUUUGGGGGAAGAGAAAGGGUGUUAGGGCUAUAUUUGGGGCUAGAAGAAAUAUUAUAUAGAUAGAUAUUUGGGGGUGGGUUUAACCUAUUGAGUUGUAG